AUUUUCCACGCAUGAUCUCAUAUGAGUUUCAAAACAACUGGAAAUAUCUGUCUGAUCUGCAAACAUUCCAGUGCUAAUGAAGAGCUACCCAAGAAAUUAAGAUGAUGGAUGUACCCAAAUUCCAAACUUACGAAAAAGUUCUGGGAUCUCACAUCUCCUGCUGUGUAAACCAGAUGAUGCGUGAGAAAACAAACAAGCACGCACCCAUUUGUGGAAAAGAAAGGACUCCUAAUGAGAAGAGCAGCAGUUCAUGCAUGAUAGGACUGAAUUAAUGCCUUGGAAGCCAGGAAGAAUUCAGUCUGCCGGAAAGAUGAGAAUAAUGAAAAAUAGGACAGUCACACACAGUUCUUAGCCAUCUGGUACCUCAACAAGUGCCGGCACAUCACACUUCAGCCAUGGGAAUUUCUCCCAACUUCUCUUCUCCUUGGAAAGAAUUUGCAAGGCAAAUUCCGUUUGAUCAACUAGGAAAAGAACCAGGAGUGGAGAAAAUGGGGGGGAAAAACAACAACAACCCCAAAACCUUCCUCAGGCCAGUGCUAGUUGUAAAAAUUGUCAAAAGACCCUUAGAUAGAUUGUACUUGGGCCUAGUUUGGAGCGCCUGGCCCUAAAAUAAACACACAGCACAAAUAAUCAUACUUAACUUAUAAGAAUGGAAAGUUUUCUUCUUAAACGUUUUUAUUACGAAGAAUAGGAACUUACAAGUGGAUGAACCUUUUCUUAGGAAUUAACCCAUUGCACAGGUUUGUUAAUAAAUGUAAGUCAGUUCCAGGAUACUUUUGUGUAAAAGUGAUACCAGGACAACGUACGGCAAUAUUUGUGGCUUAGUCCCUAAUUCAAGUACCUCGGCUCCCUCGUAUGCAGUCAGGGCGCUAGAUUUCCGGAUUCCGGCACCACUCUCAACGCCUCCUGGAUGAAGUGGCACCUGAAUCCCAUGUCACCCUCGGUCGCCCCUCUGCCUUGGCUCAAGGAUUUUGGCGAACGGAAGUGUGCCCAGUCGGUCUCUACGGAUCGGAGUGCUGGCCAGCGACGGCAAAGCACGAGCAGGCCAUACAUGUGACGGAAAUGCAAAUGCUCUGAUGUGCCGUGUAGACUAAUGUGAUUCAGCCACAUCCAACAUCAACUGGGAGUCAUGCCAAUCAUAGCAAAAAUCUGGGAAGGAAGAUGGCACGGAGACAUACCAUCGGUGGCAAGGACAGCCACCCGUCGGGAUCCUGAUGACCGGUGACCCCAGGACAGACCCAAGAAAAGGGGGAUGGAUUGCAUCAAAGAGGACAUGAUAGAUGGCUUUGCCAACAAGCGGACCCUGCCAUAGUGCAUACUGUAAAUAAAGCAUAUAUUGUCUUAAUAAUAUAUCUGAAAGAAGCCAAUUAACUGGUUUCAUAAAAUGGAACGAAGCAUCAUAUAUAAUUUUCUAGCCAGACUUUCACUUUAGAUAACAAAGUGUUAACAUGGAGACAGCCUCUGAUGUCAAACUUUAGACUUAUUUGGUGUUUGAGAAAUAAUUACCUCUUCUCUUAUUUCCUCUCUCUCCAGCAACUGUGCUUUCCCACCACACAAAAGUUUUCUCCGAUCUGAUCCUACAUUGGUAUGUCUUCUACGACAUCCUUGUAAGACAGAAACUUUCCAUGACUAAAGCUGAAGGCCAGAUGCAGGUGUAAAUUAAAUCAGACCAAUUUUAUAAGAACUAUAAUAUAAUUUUAAAAUCUAAAUUAUGAUUUGCUUAUGAUGAUGAAUAAAGUCUUGUGUCGUAAUUGCUUCAAUCACUCAGAAUAAAGAGCUUUGUGCCAGGGAACUAUUAGAUUACUUCCUGCACUAUCAGAAUAAAGUAGCACCUGGUAUCAUUAUAUUAUCCAGCAAGAUUUUGGUUUUGCAACCAGAACAAUAAGGGAAUUAAAGAGAAACCACUACAUUGUUACAGUCUAUGUCGACAAGUAACACAACAGGAAUGUUGGCCUUAAGACUUUUUACGGGGUUGCUAACGUAAAAAAGGAGACGGACACACUAACUGGGAGCUUGUCAGGUUUAAUGGAGCAAAUGUAUAAAUGGGGCUGAUUUGUGUAAUGGCGUUUAACACUAAUAUUAACGCUUCUGAUUUGACCAUGAAAACAAUCGGCUUUCAAAUGGCAUCUCACUGUUAACUCAGAAAGGAUUUGUUUGUUUUGUUCCCUUUGCGAAUGUAAUUCUCAUGACUCAGUCUGUGUGCCUGGAAUUAAUAGCACCAACAGCUAUUUAAUUUAAAUCUCUUCCAUUCCAGUUGCCUGUUUUUAAUGUUACAUACUGCCCAUCGUUUCCUAGCAGUUUUCAUCAUUAUUAGCUGUAUAUGAACUUGGAAACUGAACCCAGGUUUUUCCCCCACAUGGAAUUAGGGCUAAAAGGCUAUGAAGCAAGCCAACCCUUGAUUGAUGAUGACAAAAUGGUUUCCAGGGUCUGGGCAAGCUGGAACACCAGAGCCUAGUCACUGACAUAAACACUUAGUAAUUUCCGUCUAUAUUUGGCCCUCAUCUUUUAGCCUAAUGAUAAGAUGGAUGCACAGGUUGCUUCUGACAUCAGGAAAUAAAGAAAACACUUAACAACCAUGAUAUCGUCCCAAAUUUUUAAUGGGAUCAAGAUUCCCUUUUCGGUCUAGAGAGAAAACAGUUGGGAAUUUUUUGCUUGUUCAAACAAACGUUGUGGCUUUAAGCCAAAAUAAUAAGUUUGAACAUUAUGUAUUUUUCCACAAGCUGUUUUAUUUUAAUUAUUAUUUUUUACAAAUGCAGUCAUAAAGACAGCUGCUUAAACAUCUUCAUUUUGGCUAUUUCCCCCAGGAAUGCAUGUUUUCACUUCAAGCAAAAAAUAUGCAGUACAGGUAGUCCUUGACUUACAAUCAUUCAUUUAGUGACCAUGCAAAGCUCCAACAACAUUGAAAAAAGGGAUUUAUGACUGGUCAUAAAUUGCAACAUCCCCAUGGUCGUGUCAUCAAAAUCCAGGUGCCUGAUAACCAGCACAAACUAACUGUGGUUGCAGAGUCUAUUUGACUGUCAUUUGCAAACUUCCCAGCUGGCUUCCGACCACAAGAUUAGUGGGGGAAGCUGGAUUCUGUGAAUGACUCUUAAUUCACUUAAAAACUCCACCGAUUUGCUUCAAUGGUAGCAAAAAAAUGAACGUUUGCACAACUCAUGUAAGAACGGCCUUAUGUUUAGCAACAUAAAUUCUGAUCCCAGUUGUGGUUUAAGUUGAGGGUUACCUGUAUGGGUUUCAAAUAAUGGAUCCAUGUCACGCCUCUAGUGAAGUUGACUAUGGUGUUCCAAACUUACCUACUGUUCUUUAAAGUCUCUUUAGCUUUUUCCCCUUAGAGGUGACCUUUGCUAUCUAACAGGCAGACUUUAAAGUACAUACAUAAAACAGUUAGAAAUGUGUGGAUUGGGCAGAGGUAAUUUAUCUUAAUUACCUCCAGCCAUUUUGCCUUACUGGAUAUAAUUUUAAUUAAAAGUGUUGAUAAUACUAGGAAGAAAUGUUCUGAAUUCAAUUAAAGGAGCAGAGUUCAUUGGACAGUGAGUACUUUUUAAAGUUUUGGCUUUCACGAGUUCUCUUGCAAAGUUCUGGCUUUUUCUGAUUCUUUUGCACGGACCAGUGAGAGCAGAGUACAUGAAAUGAAGCAAGAGAAACAAUAUUCAGAGCAUGAAGUAAGAAUUAUUAAAAGAUAAUGCAGAAAUUGAUUCUUGGCCAUUCAAAUAAGGGUAUUAAUUAAAAUUAUUUUCAAAUAUAAAGCAUGUUUGUGUUGUGUGCUAAUAAUAUUACUUGUAGAUCAAGAUCAACUUAUGCAACUUUUUAUAAAGUCAAAUUUAUGUUGAAAAUGUGAGUAACCUGGAGGGACAUUUUACUAUGUCUGGUGGAUGUGUGAAAAAGCCAAAAAAUGUUGGACCCAAACACAUAAGACUAAUUCAGACAAUUUUAAAAACUAAUACACAAUUGAAACCAGAGGCUUUUCUUUGGGAACGAAUGGACAGGCAGCUAUAAAAAACACAUGGAAUUUUGUUUUUAUAUAUGACAGCUGAAGCAAGAUUAUUAUAUGCUCCAAAGUGAAAAGGUUCUUCCUUUUCCACAAUGGAGGAAUAGUUGGUGAAGAUGACAGAAUUUGUAGACAGAGAUGGCUGAAUUAACUCCUUGACUGAAGAGAAGACACCGUCUACAUUUAUGGACGACUGGAAACCUUUUAUGGACUUUUUGCAUGACAC